rnacentral:lncRNA from 1 species
AAAACAACACAUAUACACGAGAAGGGAGCUGGGCUUCUUGAGGAGAAUACACUACAGAAAGAUACACAUAGAGACGCUAGGAGAAAGGGGCUGCGCAGCUGGCGGCUUCUUCUUCACAAAAAAACACACCUAUACAUAUAAUACACAUACAUAUACACAGAGAACAUAGAGAGAGGUCGGGGAAUAAUUGAGCGCAGCUGAUAGCUUUUACUAGAGAUCUCUCCCUCACGAUCUCUUUUCUUCUUCAAUCAGAACGAGCCCUGCUUUGGAUCUCAUUUGCAAAUAUACUGCACCAAGUUCGUUUCUUCAUUUUAGUUUGUGAGAUCGUCGUUCGAGUUUUAUUUUGGUAGAGUUCCUAGGUUCCGACGAGGUCGCCGAUGAGGUUCUGUUCAACGUCUAAUCUGUCAGAUCUAAGAUCCUCGUUGAUUCAAACCAAUCUCACAACCUAAAUAUUCAGCAAGAAAGGUUUUUCCUCCAUCUAAAUACUCCAGAUGCAGUAUUAUGUUUGUUCCAGUGAUUUUAUUCAAAUUGAAUGCCCGUUUGUUCUUUUUUUAUUUAGCCUCUUUGAUGUUUUUCCUUGUUUUGAAUAUUUUGUUCAUUUGCACUUUAGUUUUGAAUGCUUAAACUACGAAUUUUGCCGAACUUUUCAGUAGAUUUGAUUUCCUACAUGAAUUUUUUCUCAUGGUUGAUUGGUUCUAAGAUAAAAAAAUGGAGUGAAUUAGCUUUUUCUUUGUCCAUACUUAGUUUCAUGUUAUGUUUAAUAUCAUUAUGAUUUAGCAUGUUAUAGUUUAUGUAAAAAUUCCAAACCCUCUGUCAAUGAAGUUUGAUGUUCCUAAAAGGUGCAUGUAUUGAUCAGAUGCCCCGGGGCAUGACACAAAGAAGUGUUGGAGUUUAAAGAAAGCAAUUCAGAAGCUUAUUGAUGAACGUGACAUUGUCGUGCAAAAUCCCGAUGCAACAGACACUAGCCAAAGUCCAUUGUUUGUGCGUAAUGAGAUGCACAUGUUGGAAUGUGAGAAUUCUUCUGGGAGCCUCGGAAGCACGAGUGCUGUUAAGCUUUCAAUACUAUCAGAAGUUGAUCUUCAGAACGAAAUGGCGAAAGGAACCUAAAAGCGUUCUGUUAAGAACAAUAUGACAAAUGUUUGUGAAGUGCCUAGUGUUAUUGAUGUGGAACCCAACGGCUAAUAUGUUGUGAUAGGUAAUUGGGAAGGCACUCAAUUUCUUGGUCAGCCAGAGAAGAGUUUUGGUGGUUUAUUUUGUUGUCAUUUCUGUUAUCCGGGUUAUUUUCGUGGUUGUAAUCCGGAGAUUGUCUCGUGAUUCAAACCCUUCUAUCCUUUUAUUUUUCCUAGCUUUGUUAGUGUCGUUUAGGUUUGUUCCAGAGUUUUAACCCCAGUCGUUUCACUUGUUUUGUUGUCCAAGUUCUUUUAGUAUCGGUCUAAUGCAGUUUUCUACUUUCCGUUAUUUCU